rnacentral:rRNA from 1 species
UGGCGGACGGGUGAGUAAUGUCUGGGGAACGUGCCUGAUGGGGGGGGAUAACUACUGGAAACGGUAGCUAAUACCGCAUAACGUCGCAAGACCAAAGAGGGGACCUUCGGGCCUCUUGCCAUCGGAUGUGCCCAGAUGGGAUUAGCUAGUAGGUGGGGUAAAGGCUCACCUAGGCGACGAUCCCUAGCUGGUCUGAGAGGAUGACCAGCCACACUGGAACUGAGACACGGUCCAG